rnacentral:rRNA from 1 species
AUUGAACGCUGGCGGCAGGCUUAACACAUGCACGUCGAGCGAGCGGCGGACGGGUGAGUAAUGUCUGAGAAACUGCCUGAUGGAGGGGGAUAACUACUGGAAACGGUAGCUAAUACCGCAUACCAUCAGAUGUGCCCAGAUGGGAUUAGCUAGUCGGUGGGGAAAUGGCUCACCUAGGCGACGAUCCCUAGCUGGGCUGAGAGAAUGACCGGCCACACUGGAAGUGAGACACGGUCAAGAAUCCUACGGGAGGCAGAAGGGGGGAAUCUUGCACAAGGGGCGCAAGCCUGAUGCAGCGAUGCCGCGUGUGUGAAGAAGGCCUGCGGGUUGGAAAGCACUUUCAGUGAGGAGGCGUUACUCGCAGAAGAAGCACCGGCUAACUCCGUGCCAGCAGCCGCGGUAAUUC